ACUACUUGGAUAACCGUGGUAAUUCUAGAGCUAAUACAUGCUAAAAAUCCCGACUUCGGAAGGGAUGUAUUUAUUAGAUUAAAAACCAAUGCCCUUCGGGGCUCCCUGGUGAUUCAUAAUAACUUCACGAAUCGCAUGGCCUUGCGCCGGCGAUGGUUCAUUCAAAUUUCUUCCCUAUCAACUUUCGAUGUUUGGGUAUUGGCCAAACAUGGUUGCAACGGGUAACGGAGGGUUAGGGCUCGACCCCGGAGAAGGAGCCUGAGAAACGGCUACUACAUCCAAGGAAGGCAGCAGGCGCGCAAAUUACCCAAUCCCGACACGGGGAGGUAGUGACAAUAAAUACUGAUACAGGGCUCUUUUGGGUCUUGUAAUUGGAAUGAGUACAAUUUAAAUCCCUUAACGAGGAACAAUUGGAGGGCAAGUCUGGUGCCAGCAGCCGCGGUAAUUCCAGCUCCAAUAGCGUAUAUUAAAGUUGUUGUGGUUAAAAAGCUCGUAGUUGAACCUUGGGCCUGGCCGGCCGGUCCGCCUCACCGCGUGCACUGGCUCGGCCGGGCCUUUCCCUCUGUGGAACCCCAUGGUCUUCACUGACUGUGGAGGGGAAACAGGACUUUUACUUUGAAAAAAUUAGAGUGCUCCAGGCAGGCCUAUGCUCGAAUACAUUAGCAUGGAAUAAUAGAAUAGGACGUGCGGUUCUAUUUUGUUGGUUUCUAGGACCGCCGUAAUGAUUAAUAGGGACAGUCGGGGGCAUCAGUAUUCAAUUGUCAGAGGUGAAAUUCUUGGAUUUAUUGAAGACUAACUACUGCGAAAGCAUUUGCCAAGGAUGUUUUCAUUAAUCAGGAACGAAAGUUAGGGGAUCGAAGACGAUCAGAUACCGUCGUAGUCUUAACCGUAAACUAUGCCGACUAGGGAUCGGACGAUGUUAUUAUUUGACUCGUUCGGCACCUUACGAGAAAUCAAAGU
rnacentral:rRNA from 1 species